rnacentral:rRNA from 1 species
CCGCGUGAGGAGUGAAGGCUCGGUCGUAACCUCUUUCUCAGGAAGAUAAUGACGGUACCUGAGGAAGAAGCCACGGCUAACUACGUG